rnacentral:lncRNA from 1 species
AGGCCACGAGUCUGAAUCUUGAAAAUUGCGAAUAAGACCACGAGCCUGAAUCUUUGAAAUCGCGAGUAAGACCACGAGCUUGAAUCUCGAAAAUCGCCAAUAAGGCCAUGAGUCUGAAUCUCGAAAAUUGCUAGUAAGGCCAUGAGUCUGAUUCUUUAAAAUCGCCAGUAAGGCUAUGAGCCUGAAUCUCAAAAUUUGCUAGUAAGGCAACGAGCCUGAAUCUCAAAAAAAAGGCCUCCAGCCUAAAUAUCGAAAAUCGCCA